rnacentral:sRNA from 1 species
UUAUUUCUAGCCUCUUUAA